AUUGAACGCUGGCGGCAGGCCUAACACAUGCAAGUCGAGCGGAUGAAGGGAGCUUGCUCCUGGAUUCAGCGGCGGACGGGUGAGUAAUGCCUAGGAAUCUGCCUGGUAGUGGGGGAUAACGUCCGGAAACGGGCGCUAAUACCGCAUACGUCCUGAGGGAGAAAGUGGGGGAUCUUCGGACCUCACGCUAUCAGAUGAGCCUAGGUCGGAUUAGCUAGUUGGUGGGGUAAAGGCCUACCAAGGCGACGAUCCGUAACUGGUCUGAGAGGAUGAUCAGUCACACUAGAACUGAGACACGGUCCAGACUCCUACGGGAGGCAGCAGUGGGGAAUAUUGGACGAUGGGCGAAAGCCUGAUCCAGCCAUGCCGCGUGUGUGAAGAAGGUCUUCGGAUUGUAAAGCACUUUAAGUUGGGAGGAAGGGCAGUAAGUUAAUACCUUGCUGUUUUGACGUUACCAACAGAAUAAGCACCGGCUAACUUCGUG
rnacentral:rRNA from 1 species